rnacentral:misc_RNA from 1 species
GAUGAAGAACGUAGUAAAAUGCGAUAAGUAAUGUGAAUUGCAGAAUUCAGUGAAUCAUCGAAUCUUUGAACGCACAUUGCGCCCGCCAGUAUUCUGGCGGGCAUGCCUGUUCGAGCGUCAUUUCAACCCUCUAGCACAGCUUGGUGUUGGGACUCGCGUUAAUUCGCGUUCCUCAAAUUGAUUGGCGGUCACGUCGAGCUUCCAUAGCGUAGUAGUAAAACCCUCGUUACUGGUAAUCGUCGCGGCCACGCCGUUAAACCCCAACUUCUGAAUGUUGACCUCGGAUCAGGUAGGAAUACCCGCUGAACUUAAGCAUAUCAAUAAGCGGAGGA